rnacentral:rRNA from 1 species
UACGUAGGGGGGCGAGCGUUGUCCGGAUUUAUUGGGCGUAAAGAGCUCGUAGGCGGUUGGGUAAGUCGGGUGUGAAAAACUCAGGGCUCAACUCUGAGACGCCGACUCGAUAGCUGCCCUGACUCGAGUCCGGUAGGGGAGCGUGGAAUUCCCGGUGUAGCGGUGAAAUGCGCAGAUAUCGGGAGGACACCAGUGGCGAAGGCGGCGCUCUGGGCCGGAACUGACGCUGAGGAGCGAAAGCGUGGGUAGCAAACAGG